CCUACGGGUGGCAGCAGUGAGGAAUAUUGGUCAAUGGACGCAAGUCUGAACCAGCCAUGCCGCGUGCAGGAAGACGGCUCUAUGAGUUGUAAACUGCUUUUGUACGAGGGUAAACGCAGAUACGCGUAUCUGUCUGAAAGUAUCGUACGAAUAAGGAUCGGCUAACUCCGUGCCAGCAGCCGCGGUAAUACGGAGGAUCCGAGCAUUAUCCGGAGUUUCUGGGGGUAAAGAGUUGCGUAGGUGGCAUAAUAAGUAGCUGGGGAAAUCUGGUGGCUCAACCAUUCAGACUAUUAGCGAAACUGUUAUGCUCGAGACGGUUAGGGGUAAGCGGAAUGUCUAGUGUAGGAGUGAAAUCCGUAGAUAUUAGAAAGAACACCAAUAGCGUAGGCAGGUUGAUGGGACGGUUCUGACACUAAGGCACGAAAGCGUAGGGAGCAAACGGGAUUAGAUACCCCUGUAGUC
rnacentral:rRNA from 1 species